rnacentral:rRNA from 1 species
UUCAUCCAAAGCUAAAUAUUGGCGAGAGACCGAUAGCGAACAAGUACCGUGAGGGAAAGGUGAAAAGCACCCCGACGAGGGGAGUGAAACAGAUCCUGAAACCGGACGCCUACAAACAGUUGGAGGGCUUCGUGCCUGACAGCGUACCUUUUGUAUAAUGGGUCAGCGACUUAAUUUAACGAGCAAGCUUAAGCCGGUAGGUGUAGGCGUAGCGAAAGCGAGUCUGAAUAGGGCGUUUUAGUUCGUUGGAUUAGACCCGAAACCGAGUGAUCUAGCCAUGGCCAGGUUGAAGGUGCGGUAACACGCACUGGAGGACCGAACCCACGCCUGUUGAAAAAGUCGGGGAUGAGCUGUGGCUAGGGGUGAAAGGCCAAUCAAACUCGGAAAUAGCUGGUUCUCCGCGAAAUCUAUUUAGGU